GACGAACCGAGCGAACGUUGUUCGGAAUCACUGGGCUUAAAGGGCGCGUAGGCGGGCCGCCGCGUCCGGGGUGAAAUCCUCCCGCUCAACGGGAGAACGGCCUCGGAUACGGGCGGCCUGGAGGGGGGUAGGGGCGUGCGGAACUGUGGGUGGAGCGGUGAAAUGCGUUGAUAUCCACAGGAACUCCGGUGGCGAAGGCGGCACGCUGGACCCCACCUGACGCUGAGCCGCGAAAGCCAGGGGAGCGAACGGG
rnacentral:rRNA from 1 species